rnacentral:rRNA from 1 species
AAUUUCUACAGGUGAAAACACCUAAUCAACCUUGGCUGAUCUUGAAAGCUAAGCAGAGUCUAAUCUGGUGAAUACUUGGAUGGAUGACCAGCAGAGGGCCAGAAAGAGAUUU